rnacentral:rRNA from 1 species
AUACGGAGGGUGCAAGCGUUAUCCGGAUUUAUUGGGUUUAAAGGGUGCGUAGGCUGUGCGUUAAGUCAGGGGUGAAAUGCCGUCGCUCAACGACGGAGCUGCCCUUGAUACUGGCGUGCUGGAGUACGGAUGCCGUUGGAGGAAUGAGUGGUGUAGCGGUGAAAUGCUUAGAUAUCACUCAGAACACCGAUUGCGAAGGCAUCUGACGAAUCCGUCACUGACGCUGAGGCACGAAAGCGUGGGGAUAGAACAGGAUUAGAUACCCUGGUAUUCCACGCCGUAAACGAUGAUGACUAACCGUCGGCGAUAGACAGCCGGUGGCCAAGCGAAAGCGAUAAGUCAUCCACCUGGGGAGUACGUCGGCAACGAUGAAACUUAAAUGAAUUGGCGGGG